AGUUCUGCGCUUGUUACUCACUGACAAACCAAAUUGCCGCCAGAGUUUGCAGCGGCGGCUAACAACUUCCGGGCCCACGUCGGGCGGAAGCAGGUGUGCAGUGGGCGGGGCGGAGGCCCAUCACCUGCGCGCGCAACCACGCCCGGCAAAGGAGCGGAACGGCCGGUGUCCUCCCGCCAGCUUUUAUACUGCGCUAUUUUAGUCGCGCGCUCUGAUUGGCCAUCCAUGGUGACGACACGCCUGGACGCCGAAAGGUGGAGGAGAGACUGGGCGGAUGUGAGCUUCCGGCUGCCGGC
rnacentral:lncRNA from 1 species